rnacentral:rRNA from 1 species
CAUACUGACCUAUACCAUGUUGAACUACACCGGUUUCCGUCCGAUCACCGAAGUUAAGCAACAUCGGGCAUGGCUUAGUACUAGGUGGGUGACCACUUGGGGAAACCAGUGUCGUUGGCAUCA